rnacentral:rRNA from 1 species
AGUGAACGCUGGCGGUAGGCCUAACACAUGCAAGUCGAACGGCAGCACAGUAAGAGCUUGCCCUUACGGGUGGCGAGUGGCGGACGGGUGAGGAAUACAUCGGAAUCUACUUUUUCGUGGGGGAUAACGUAGGGAAACUUACGCUAAUACCGCAUACGACCUACGGGUGAAAGCAGGGGAUCUUCGGACCUUGCGCGAUUGAAUGAGCCGAUGUCGGAUUAGCUAGUUGGCGGGGUAAAGGCCCACCAAGGCGACGAUCCGUAGCUGGUCUGAGAGGAUGAGCAGCCACACUGGAACUGAGACACGGUCCAGACUCCUACGGGAGGCAGCAGUGGGGAAUAUUGGACAAUGGGCGCAAGCCUGAUCCAGCCAUACCGCGUGGGUGAAGAAGGCCUUCGGGUUGUAAAGCCCUUUUGUUGGGAAAGAAAAGCAGCAGGUUAAUACCCCGCUGUUCUGACGGUACCCAAAGAAUAAGCACCGGCUAACUUCGUG